UGGAAAAUAAAAAUUCAGGACUUCCUCACAAAGAAUUAAGCCAUCUUGACAGCUAUGAAUUCCUUAAAGCCACUUUAAACCCAGGCACUUAGGAGAGAGGCGUCCGUGGCACGACUUGGGCGUGGCCUGAUCGCGCUUACGGGACAGAAGCGACCUCUGGAACUGCUGUGCGCCGUGAACCCCACCCAGCCCCUCGCGAGCACCAGGCAGGCGCGGGGCUAGAUGAAAGUGCUUGCAGCUAAUUUAGACUUUCUGCACACACCAGUGGAUAGUCUCAGUGUAAAUAGUACGUUUCUUCUUGACUGUUUAAUGUGAGUCAGCACAGAGUGGGGAACCCGGCUUCUGUGCUGUCGCAUACUUCCGCCGUUGUGGCGCAUGCGCAGCAGGAACAGCGCCCUCCAUUCCCUGGAACUCCGGUUCCACCCAGUGGUGAGGGGAGCUAGGUAAUGUUUUUCCACCGGUGUCCCAGCUGUGUAGUUUUUGAGAGAAGUUCUCUCUUGAAUCCAGGCUGGCUUCAAACCAAGUAGUAAUGAGCCCAGACUGCGUUGAACUUAACGGCGAUCUUCCUGCUGCA